GAACUCCUGACCUCAGGUGAUCUGCCUGCCUUGGCCUCCCAAAGUGCUGGGAUUACAGGCGUGAGCCGCCGUUCCUGUCCUUGUUAUUGUCUUCUUAAAAAUAGCAUUCUGACUGGUGUGAGAUGGUAUCUCACAGUGGCUUUGAGUUGGAUUUCUCUGGUGAUUUGUGAUAAUGAACAUUUUUUUUCCAAUUUUUUUCUGGCCAUUUGUAUGUCUUCUUUUGAGAAGUGUCUGUUUAUGUCCUUUGCCCACUUUUUAAUGGGGUUAUUUGUUUUUUGCUUGUUGAUUUGUUGAAGUUCCUUGAGGAUUCUGGAUUUCAGACCUUUGCCAGACGUGGCUUGCAAUAGUUUCUCCCAUUCUGUAAGUUUGCUGUUUACUCUGUUGAUGGUUUCUUUUGCUCUACAGAAACACUUGUCGAUUUUUGUGUUUGUUGCAGUUGCUUUUUGAGGACUUAGCCAAAAGUUCUUUGCCAAGGCUGGGGUCAAGAAGAGUAUUUCCGAGGUUUUCUUCUACGAUUUUAGUAGUUUGAGGUCUCACAUUUAAAUCUUUAAUCCGUGUGAUUUAAAUCUUUAAUCACGUUUAAAUCUUUAAUACAUCUUGAGUGGAUUUUUGUAUAAGGUGUAAGGAAGAGGUCCAGUUUCAUUCUUCUGCAUGUGGGUAGCCAGCUACCUCGGCACUAUUUAUUGAAUAGGGACUUCCCUCCCCAUUGCUUGCUUCAUAGGCUUUAUUGGCGAUCAGAUGGUUGUAGGUGCGUGGCUUUAUUUCUGGGCUCUCUGUUCUGUUCUGGUGGUCUAUGUGUCUGUCUUUGUUCCAGUACCAUGCCGUUUUGAUUACUAUAUCCUUAUAUUCGGGUGGGGUAAUGCCUCCAGCUUUGUUCUUUUUUGCUUAGGAUUGUUUUGCAUAUUCAGGGUCUUCUUUUGUUCCAUAUGAAUUUUAGGAUAGUUUUUUCUAAUUGUGUGAACAAUGGCAUUGGUGGUUUGAUACAAAGAGCAUUGAAUCUGUAAAUUGCUUUGGGCCUUACGGCCAUUUUAACAAUAUUGAUUCUUUCAAUCCAUGAGCAUGGAAUAUUUUUGCAUUUAUUUGUGUCAUCUCUGAUUUUCUUUCAACAGUGUUUUGUGUCUCUCUUUGUAGAGACCUUUUACCUCCUUGGUUAGCAGUGUUCCCAGGUACUUCGUUUUUUGUGUCUGCCUGUAGUUCUGUGUGUUUUUAAAAUUUUUGUCACUGGUUCUCUUUGACCUGUAAUUAAUGCAUUGUAUGGAGAUGAAACCAGUUUGUCCUGAUACCUGAACAGCUUGUCAUAAUUCUUUGCCCAUAGUCAAAUUCUUCCCAUGGUCUCUCUAAAUGUUUUACAAAUACCCAUUGGCCAUUGAAUGGCGUCAGUGCCUGAUACAUAUAAGGGAUGGCGUGGGGAAGAAAGUGUUGAGGAAUUACGGGAAGUUAAGUGUAGAUGGGAUGCCACUUCGCUCUUUUGGGUGUGUGGUCAGGACCACAUGAGGAAGACUGGUUGGUCAACCCCCCACCCCACACGGCGUACACGCACAUGACCAUCAGAGGGGUGAUAGAUGCUUAAACUGGGAGCUUCUGGCAGUUAUGAGAGCAAAUGGGAGGGGCAGCCACAGAAAGGCAGUAGGGAAGGCUCCCUGGAGGAAGUGGCAGCUAAGCCAAGACCUGUGGUGGAAACACAAGAGAAGUGAAAGAAGUAGGGGGAAGAAAGGGGCCAGAAGAGGGAGAGAGUAUGGAAUGGAGGUCAGAAUGUGGGUGUAUGGGGGUGGGAGGAGUGGUGGGAGAAAAUGGGAGAGAAGGGCAGGUGUGGUUUAUCCUAGGGACGCAGGGCCUGUUCAACAUCCCAAAGAUCAAUAUUGCGGAAAUGGACAAGCUAAUUCUGAAGUUCAUAUGGAAACAGAAGGGACCUAUAUCUUGGAUUUAUACCUAAGUAUUUCAUGGCCUUUGGCACUAUUGUAAAUUGCACUGUUUUUUAAAUUUAUAUUUCCAUUCGUUCAAUGAUACAGAAAUGUAACUGAUUUUUACGUAUUGAUCCUGUAUCUAAAACAAUCUUGGAAAAGGGGAACAAAGUUGGAGGGUUCACACUUCCCAAUUCAAACUUUACAAAUCCAUAGAGCCAGAAAGUAAAUUAGUGGUUUCCAGGAGCUGGGGGUUGGGCUGGGGAUUGGAAGUGACUGCUAACAGAUACAGAAUUUCUUUCUGGGAAGAUGAAAAUGUUCUGGGGGUAGUGGUGGUGAUUAUACAACAUUGUGAGUAUACUAAAACCCACUGAACCUUAUACUUUAAAAUGGUAAAUUUUAUGGUAUGUAAAUUUAAUCCAAAUUAUAAAAGCUACUUUAAAAAAAAUCAGUGUGAUUCACCAUAACAGCAGAUUAAAGAGGAAAAAGUAUGUAACUACCUUAACAGAUAUAGCACUAUAAUUUGACAACAUACAGCAUCCUUUUAUGAUUAAAAAUACUCUCAGCAAACUAGGAGCUAAAGGGAACUUCCUCAACCUGAAAAGAGCAUUUACAAACAAUCUCUAGCAGGCAUUUUACUUAACAGUGAAAGAGAAUGCUUUUCUCCUAAAAUUGGAAACAAGGCAGGAAUAUCUACUUUUAUAAUUCCUAUUGGACAUUGUACUGGAAGACCUAGCCAAUGCAAUAAAGUAAGAAAAAGAAGAAAAAAAAGUACAGAGAGGAAGGGAAGAAAUAAAACCAUCUCUAUUUGCAGACGAUAUGAUUGCAUGGAAAAUUCCAAAGAAUCUGUAAAAAAGCUAUGAUAAUGGGUUUUUUUUUCAGUGAGCUCUCAGGAUACAAGAUCAAUGUAUAAAAAUCAGUUAUAUUUUUAUAAUAUAAUUGAACAAUUAGAAAUUUAAAUUAAAAAGUACCAUUUACAAUAGCAUCAAAUACCUUGAAAUAUUUAGGUAUAAAUCAAACAAAAUGUGUAUGAUAGCUUUAUGCUGAAAACUACAAAACACUAAUGAAAGAAAUAAAAGACCUAAAUAAAUGGAGAGAUA